UACGUAGGGCGCAAGCGUUGUCCGGAAUUAUUGGGCGUAAAGAGCUCGUAGGCGGCUUGUCACGUCGGAUGUGAAAGCCCGGGGCUUAACCCCGGGUCUGCAUUCGAUACGGGCAGGCUAGAGUGUGGUAGGGGAGAUCGGAAUUCCUGGUGUAGCGGUGAAAUGCGCAGAUAUCGGGAGGAACACCGGUGGCGAAGGCGGUUCUCUGGGCCUUACCUGACGCUGAGGAGCGAAAGCGUGGGGAGCGAACAGG
rnacentral:rRNA from 1 species